GUGAGAUGGGACAGGUGAGAGAUGGGCAGGUGAGAUGGGACAGGUGAGAGAUGGACAGGUGAGAUGGGACAGGUGAGAGAUGGGCAGGUGAGAGAUGGGCAGGUGAGAGAUGGGCAGGUGAGAUGGGACAGGUGAGAGAUGGACAGGUGAGAUGGGACAGGUGAGAGAUGGGCAGGUGAGAUGGGACAGGUGAGAGAUGGACAGGUGAGAUGGGACAGGUGAGAGAUGGGCAGGUGAGAUGGGACAGGUGAGAGAUGGACAGGUGAGAUGGGACAGGUGAGAGAUGGGCAG
rnacentral:lncRNA from 1 species